GUGUCAGCCGCCGCGGUAAUACGUAGGGUGCGAGCGUUAAUCGGAAUUACUGGGCGUAAAGCGUGCGCAGGCGGUUGUGCAAGACAGGUGUGAAAUCCCCGGGCUUAACCUGGGAACGGCACUUGUGACUGCACGGCUAGAGUACGGUAGAGGGGGAUGGAAUUCCGCGUGUAGCAGUGAAAUGCGUAGAUAUGCGGAGGAACACCGAUGGCGAAGGCAAUCCCCUGGACCUGUACUGACGCUCAUGCACGAAAGCGUGGGGAGCAAACAGGAUUAGAAACCCCAGUAGUCC
rnacentral:rRNA from 1 species